AGACAACUCUCAACAACGGAUAUCUUGGCUCUCGCAACGAUGAAGAACGCAGCGAAAUGCGAUACGUAGUGUGAAUUGCAGAAUUCCGUGAAUCAUCAAAUCUUUGAACGCAAAUUGCGCCCAAGGCUUCGGCUGAGGGCAUGUUUGCCUCAGCGUCGGGUUAAUCUCACUUCCUCUCUCCCACACUGUGUGUGGAGUGAACAAACUGGC
rnacentral:rRNA from 1 species